rnacentral:lncRNA from 10 species
AUGGUUAGCACUUUAUUCAGUAAAGUGAAUAUUGCAGUUGCUUUGGGAGGUUUGUUUUUUUUCGCCAUCUACUUUCCAGCUGCUGGCCUCCAUGUCUACUAUGGAAAAAUGACAUUUAUCCAGAAGCUGGCAGCCUGUCUCAGCUCAAAUUUUGCAAUGGCAUUGGGAGUUAAAUUUCUAGCUGAUGCAGAAACAUGGAGAGUUGGACUUAAAUGGAGUAACAUCUUCUCAUCAACUACACUGGAUAACUUUUAUUUUGCCCAUGUGCUGGGAAUGUUUUUAUUUGAUGCUUUCUUGUAUAGCCUUGUGGCCUGGUAUAUAGAAGCUGUCUUUCCAGGAAGCUAUGGUGUGCCCAAGCCAUGGAACUUUUUCUUACAGGUAAGUUAUAAUUCUUCUGUUAUUGAUAGAGGCACCAUCCUUAUGAACUUCAUUUAUGAUAUUUAUAAAAGCACUGUCUGUAAUAGAAUCAGUAGGUCAGGUGGAAGAACCAUUUUCAUUUACACUCCAGCCAUACUAAUUCACUAGCCAUAUCCUAAUCCCCUCUAAGCCCUCCAGUAAACGUAAAUAGUGGUAGAUGAUAGCUUGUGACCGGCUGGGCACGGUAGCUCACGCUGGUAAUCCCAGCACUUUGGGAGGCUGAGGUAGGUGGGUCCCCUGAGGUUGGGAGUUCGAGACCAUCCUGGCCAACGUGGUGAAACCCUGUCUCUACUAAAAAUACAAAGAAUUAGCCAGGCGUGGUGGCGUGCCUGUACUCCCAGCUACUCUGAAGCCUAAGGCAGGAGAAUCGCUUGAACCCGG